GACAUUUAUUGUGACUUAUUUUACGCCCCAGCAUGGAGCUUGGCUUUGUGAACACUCCCUAUGAACUUGAAAAAAAUGUUUAUUCUGUAGUUGUUGGGUGAAAUGUUUAAUAAAUAUUAAUUAAGUUGGUUCAUAGUGAUUUUCAAGUCUUUUAAACAUUUACUGAAUUGAGGACACUCAUUUUAUAAAUUACUGACGUGGAGUGUUAACAUUUUUAACUAUAAUUAUAUAUUUGUCUAUUUCUCCCUUUUAUUUUUGUUCCUUUUGGUUUUUUGUAUUCUAAGCUUCUAUUAUUAGGUGUAUAAAAAUUUAGAAUUGAUUUCUUCAUGAUGAAUUGCAUUUUUUAUCAUUAUGAAAUUACCCAUUUUUAACUCUGGCAAUACAACUCACCUUAAGGUCUGCCUUCCUCAUAUUAGCAUAGCUACAUCAGCUUUCUUAGGUGUGGUGUUUGCAUGUUAUAACUUUUUUUCUUUAUAUUUGAAUAUCUAUCACAUAUUUUCUAGUAUUUUUCUUGAGCAGCACAUGUUCAUUGUUUUUAUUUAUCAGGAAGUUUCUUUACUUUUGAACAAAACACUUUUUAAAGAUAAAAAUUCUGUGUUUUUAUUUCUUAUUUUUUGAACACUAAAGAUGUCCUACUAUCUUCAGUUCUACCCUCUAUAGCUGUUUUCCUGUGUAUUAUGUAUCUUUUUUCUCUGGCUAAUUUUAACAUUGUCUCCAUAGCUUUAUGGUUUAGCAGUUUGGUUUUUCUCUUCUCUUAGGAAUGGUUUCCUCUCUAUUUAUCUUGCUUGUAUUCUGGUGAGUUUCCAAAAUCUGCGAAUAUUAUCUAUCUAUUUACAGUAUGAAAAACUUUGACUACUGUAUUGUUUGUAUUUUGACUGCCCUUUUCUUAUUUUCAUUUUCUUCUAGGACUCCAGUUAUACAUAUAUCAGGAAGCUUAAUACAAUCCCAGAGGUUUUACUUGAAAAAUAGAAUUUUAUUGAUAAAAAAUAGAAAACUUCAAAUCUAUCACAACUCAUCAACAGUCUACUCCUUUUAUGUAUUGGAAGCUUGUCAACUUCUUUUUGAAAAGUUAAAGUUAAGUUAGAGCUAAGACCAUAAACAUAUGAAGACUGUCUGAGAAGACAUGACUGGAAACUGAAUAGGGCUGGGCGUGGUGGCUCACACCUGUAAUCCCAACAAUUUGGGAGGCCGAGGCGGGGGGAUCACCUGAAGUCAAGAGUUCGAGACCAGCCUGGUCAACAUGGAGAAAUCCUGUUUCCACUAAGAAUACAAGAAUUAGCCAGGCGUGGUGGCAGGUGCCUGUAAUCCCAGCUACUCAGGUGGCUGAGGCAGGAGAAUUGCUUCAACCCGGGAGGCAGAGGUUGCAGUGAUCCAAGAUCAUGCCACUGCACUCCAGCCUGGGAGACAGAGAAAGACUCCAUCUCAGGGGAAAAAAAAGAAAAGAAAAGAAAAAGAAAAGAAAACUGAAUAAUACUCUAUUUUUCUACAAUGAAUCUAGAAGAAAAAGAAAAGACCAAAUAUAGGAUUACUUGAAUGAGACAAAAAAGAUGGAAUUUGGAGGACAAGACAAGAGAUACUAAGAAGAGUAAACCCAAUAAACAGACUGCAGCACAGAAAGGGUCCAGGACCAGGGAGGUGGCUUGUUCAGGAAAGAGUUAACUCAACAGGUCUGGGAUAUUCAAAUCCCACACAUUUCGAAAAAAAGUUCUCUCCUCAUUGGCUCCUGGGAGAAAAUCUCUACGUCUUUGGACUAUUCUUCCAGAUUGGAGACUGAAAAGAAGAGAAGUUAAGGAACUUGUCUAAGAUUAUCAAGCAAAAAUUUAAAGCUGAAGUUUCAAUAUUUUCUCAGAAAACAAGAAAAGUUAGUGAUCUCAUUAUAGAAAGACUGUUACAGUGGCUUCAGCAGAGUCAGUGGUUGUGUCAACAGCAUCUGGAGCAGAGAGGGCAAGCUUAGUUCAUAUGAAGCAGCAAUAGCAACAGAAGAAAAGGCAGUGACAUCACCCUCAGCUUGUUGGAGGAGCCUAUGGGCCAGCUAAUGAAAAAUACAGGAGUCUGAAUAGCAGGGGAAAGCUCUGGGUGUCAGCAAUAUAUUCAAGUAGAGAUAAACAGAAGAAGAUGUGAAGAAGUCAAUGAUAGGGUAGUAGUUCUGAACUUACCUGGUGACUAUGCCAAAUGGACAAUCAUUCAGAAAUCAGGCUCUGGGAGGUUUUUCUAUCUUCAGUAAUGCCUUCUAAGGUUUUUUGGGAAUCAUCUCCAUUCCAGCUAAUGAGAAAAGGAAGAGAGUAUUUUGGGUGUCUGGGAUUUCCUCUCUGGCACUCAUUCUCCUGUCACCCUGUGAAGAGGUGCCUUCUGCCAUGAUUAGAAGUUUCCUGAGAACUCCCCAGCCAUGCUGAACUGUGAGUCAAUUAAACCUCUUUCCUUUUUAUAAAUUACCCAGUCUUGGGAACUUCUUCACAGUAGCGUGAGAAUGGACUAAUAACGGUGUGUACUCUUCAUACAUUUUUAAGGAGAGGAAGAAGAUAAGUAGAGUUAUGUUUUAGAAGGGUAAAUAUGGUUGCAAUAAAGAAAAUAUUUUUCUGGGGUAAGUGAUUGAAGAUAAGUAAUUAGAUUACAUGCGAUUAAUGUCUGAAUGAGUCAAGGAGGAAAAAGAAGAUAGAUUAAAGAGAAUAUUUGAAUUAUACUUGACAUAACUUGAUUGCUCUUGAUGAGCAGGAAGGUGGAGAAGGGAUAGGCCUCACUUUUUGCAGGUUGUGCCUUUUAAAGACAUUUGAGUAAAAGGAAAGUGGAGACUGAAAUGCAGCUCUUGUUUAAUUUGCCAGUCCUUGAGUCCUGUUAGAACUAUAUAUUCCAACAGAAGCUGUGUUGUCUCCUAAAAUAUCCAACCAAGUGGGGCAUCUAUUUUUAAUUUAUUCACCAAUAGAAUAUCUUUUUCAAGUUUCAACAUCUAGAGAAGUACCAUUUUUCAAAAAUGCAGAAAACUGCUGCUUAACCUGGAAGUAGUUUUGGCUGAGGAAGUUAAGAAUGAUACUUGGGUUUAUGACUUGAGUUAUGGGUCAAGUUUUAGAGUUUUGUGUCUCAAUAUGCAGUCCUUGGAACACGAGCAUCAGCAUUGUUAGGUAACUUAUUAGAAAUAUAAAAUAUUCAAUCAGAAUACUCAAUUAGACUAUGCAUUUUAACAAGAUCAAUAGGUAAUUUAUAUUAACAUACAUGUUACAGUUUGGGAAGCACUGCUUUAAAGAUAAUGAAUGAAUGCCUCAGAAUUUGGUUAUUAGGGAGUAUUCCUCCAUGGGCCUGGCCAGAAGAUACUCCAGUUAUAGGAGAAAGCCAUGGGUCACCUCGUCCAAUGGGUUCUUGCUGUAUCUGUAGAAGACUCAGAGGAAGCAGGGACCUUUCCAAAGCUGUGAAGUAAGUAAAAUAAAAGGAGGAGGGAUUUGGUAAGCUGAUGGCAAUAAAAAUUUUUAAAAAUUG